CAUGACAACAUUAUCUCCACCAUAAAUGGCAGCCUUCCUCUCCACAGUGGAUUGCAGCCUUCAGCAUUAUGAAGUGACUGCUUCUGCCACCACACAAUGCUUUUAACCCUGAAUUCAUCUUUGUCCAAUAACAGUGUCAUAAUUCUUGCCUUGUCUCCAUUUAGGCUUCUGCUCCCGGUUAGGAAGCUGGUUUGAGAAGAAGAGAAGUGGUGUGGCUGCCCAUCUCUCUCUCCACCCUGACUGCAUUCUUUCCCUUUGUGGGGAAGGAACAGCCUCCCCUGGCCCACCCAAGCCCAAAGUCUCCAGCUCUCCUGGAGAAUUGUGAAGUGCUCUGAAGGCUGCCAACAAAAUGUCAAGUCAGCCCACUGACAGAGGAAGGAAGAGAAGCCUUUGGAAAAGACUGUGUUGUUUCCCAUUAGCUUACGUUCCUGCUGAAUCUGAGCAGCUGACCUGAGGAAGGAGGUCGGAAAGGCUAAAGGAUGAAAUGCUGGAAAUACACCAUUUUCAGCAAAGGCAAUGAUUACAGAGUCAUCUGCUCUAUGAUGUUUCCAUAGCCUUGUCACAGUGGUAGAUAGAUAGACAGACAGACAGAUAGAAAGAUAGAUAGAUAAGGUAAAUUCUCUGUCUUUACCAUAUUUUUCCCAAGGAUCUUGACAGACAUAGGCUUCUGGUUGCUUCCUUCUCCGUGGGACGCGAAAGAGUUGAUGCCAGCUAUUCACCCACCCACACUAGAACCUGGCAUCUCUCUCUGUAAAACUAAUUUGAAACCAGCAUGUUUUCCUCACUUUCUAUCUUUAUUGCAAUUUAACUCAGGUAGGGCAACUCGUUGCAACAGCCCCAGCAGAAGCAACAGAGGACUCAUGACUCCUGCCCGUACUCCUUUAGGGGAUGGCGAAACUCAGGGCGGACCUUUCCUCUUGUGUGUGGAGAGAGGGGCUUCCCUUGUGUGUCCAAGGGAUCAAGAUGAACUGACAGAGUCAGUUUCCCUGGGCCCGGCCCUUGUUAUCCACCAGGGCGACAGUGGGGACUCCCAUUUGUCCCUCAUUUCCAGGUUCAUGUGGCCUAGGAGGAAGAGCAGACACGGGCAUAGGUAAUUAUCAUAAUGCAUAAUAGAAAGAUG
rnacentral:lncRNA from 1 species